GGAGCAUUAGCUCAGAUGGUAGAGCACUUGACUUUUAAUCAAGUUGUCCGGGGUUCGAGUCCCCGAUGCUUCA
rnacentral:tRNA from 1 species